GUGGGGAAUAUUGGACAAUGGGGGGAACCCUGAUCCAGCCAUGCCGCGUGUGUGAAGAAGGCCUUUUGGUUGUAAAGCACUUUAAGCGAGGAGGAGGCUACCGAGAUUAAUACUCUUGGAUAGUGGACGUUACUCGCAGAAUAAGCACCGGCUAACUUCGUGCCAGCAGCCGCGGUAAUACAGAGGGUGCGAGCGUUAAUCGGAUUUACUGGGCGUAAAGCGUGCGUAGGCGGCUUUUUAAGUCGGAUGUGAAAUCCCUGAGCUUAACUUAGGAAUUGCAUUCGAUACUGGAAAGCUAGAGUAUGGGAGAGGAUGGUAGAAUUCCAGGUGUAGCGGUGAAAUGCGUAGAGAUCUGGAGGAAUACCGAUGGCGAAGGCAGCCAUCUGGCCUAAUACUGACGCUGAGGUACGAAAGCAUGGGGAGCAAACAGGAUUAGAUACCCCUGUAGUCC
rnacentral:rRNA from 1 species